AACCGGAUUAGAUACCCGGGUAGUCCACGCCCUAAACGAUGUGCACUAGACUGGAGCGGCUCUGACGUCGUUCUGGUCGUAGAGAAAUUGUUAAGUGCACCGCCUGGGUAGUACGGUCGCAAGGCUAAAACUCAAAGGAAUUGACGGGGGCUCACACAAGCGGUGGAGCAUGUUGCUUAAUUCGAAGCAACGCGAAGAACCUUACCUGGGUUUGACAUGCACGGAUUAACCGGUGGAAACACUGGCCACACUCGCAAGAGUGGAACGUGCACAGGUGCUGCAUGGCUGUCGUCAGCUCGUGCUGUGAAGUGUCGGGUUAAGUCCCUUAACGAGCGCAACCCUUGUCGCUAGUUGCUAACAGGUAAUGCUGAGGACUCUAGCGAGACUGCCGGUGUCAAACCGGAGGAAGGUGGGGAUGACGUCAAGUCCUCAUGGCCCUUACAUCCAGGGUUGCAAACGUGCUACAAUGGUGCAUACAGAGCGACGCAAGACCGCAAGGUGGAGCAAAUCGCAAAAAAUGCACCCCAGUUCGGAUUGCAGGCUGCAACUCGCCUGCAUGAAGCCGGAAUCGCUAGUAAUCGGAGAUCAGCUACGCUCCGGUGAAUAAGUUCCUGAGCCUUGUACACACCGCCCGUCAAGUCAUGGGAGCCGGUAGUGCCCGAAGUCGCCACAUUACUGUGGUGCCCACGGCAAGAUCGGUGACUGGGACUAAGUCGUAACAAGGUAACC
rnacentral:rRNA from 1 species